rnacentral:rRNA from 3 species
UUCCCGGGCCUUGUACACACCGCCCGUCACACCAUGGGAGUGGGUUGCAAAAGAAGUAGGUAGCUUAACCUUCGGGAGGGCGCUUACCACUUUGUGAUUCAUGACUGGGGUGAAGUCGUAACAAGGUAACCGUAGGGGAACCUGCGGUUGGAUCACCUCCUUACCUUAAAGAA